AGUGAACGCUGGCGGUAGGCCUAACACAUGCAAGUCGAACGGCAGCACAGUAAGAGCUUGCUCUUACGGGUGGCGAGUGGCGGACGGGUGAGGAAUACAUCGGAAUCUACUUUUUCGUGGGGGAUAACGUAGGGAAACUUACGCUAAUACCGCAUACGACCUACGGGUGAAAGCAGGGGAUCUUCGGACCUUGCGCGAUUGAAUGAGCCGAUGUCGGAUUAGCUAGUUGGCGGGGUAAAGGCCCACCAAGGCGACGAUCCGUAGCUGGUCUGAGAGGAUGAUCAGCCACACUGGAACUGAGACACGGUCCAGACUCCUACGGGAGGCAGCAGUGGGGAAUAUUAGACAAGGGGCGCAAGCCUGAUCCAGCCAUACCGCGUGGGUGAAGAAGGCCUUCGGGUUGUAAAGCCCUUUUGUUGGGAAAGAAAAGCAGCAGGUUAAUACCCCGCUGUUCUGACGGUACCCAAAGAAUAAGCACCGGCUAACUUCGUG
rnacentral:rRNA from 1 species